AUUUUAUUCACAUUUUUAUUUUAUUGAAAAACGAAACAAAGGAACAGGAGGGGAAGACAACUGGUGGAGCUGCUGGAGAAGGGACACCUGGUUCCUCAUCCACACCUCUCCUCUCUACGGAGCUUCCUGCAGGUCUAGAGACAUCCAUCCCUCCAGCUCCCUCCAGUGAAACACAGCCUGCAGGUCUAGAGACAUCCAUCCCUCCAGCUCCCUCCAGUGAAACACAGCCUGCUGAAGAAACUACACCACUAAUGUCCAGUGAAUCUCCUGCACCAACCGGGGACCAACAAGAACAUAUUAUAACUAUCCCUGAUGCAACUACGGAUGGUCAUGAUAAUGACCAGAGUCUGGGUCCUGAGGAGAGAGCAAAUGCCGCACCUCCCAGUCCAGCCCCUCCACCUCCCAGUACACACCCUCCACCUCCCAGUACACCCCCUCCACCUC
ensembl:lncRNA